GAUGAACGCUGGCGGCGUGCCUAAUACAUGCAAGUCGAGCGAACAGACGAGGAGCUUGCUCCUCUGACGUUAGCGGCGGACGGGUGAGUAACACGUGGAUAACCUACCUAUAAGACUGGGAUAACUUCGGGAAACCGGAGCUAAUACCGGAUAAUAUAUUGAACCGCAUGGUUCAAUAGUGAAAGACGGUUUUGCUGUCACUUAUAGAUGGAUCCGCGCCGCAUUAGCUAGUUGGUAAGGUAACGGCUUACCAAGGCAACGAUGCGUAGCCGACCUGAGAGGGUGAUCGGCCACACUGGAGCUGAAGCACGGUCCAGACUCCUACGGGAGGCAGCAGUAGGGAAUCUUCCGCAAUGGGCGAAAGCUUGACGGAGCAACGCCGCGUGAGUGAUGAAGGUCUUCGGAUCGUAAAACUCUGUUAUUAGGGAAGAACAAAUGUGUAAGUAACUAUGCACGUCUUGACGGUACCUAAUCAGAAAGCCACGGCUAACUACGUG
rnacentral:rRNA from 1 species